rnacentral:miRNA from 1 species
UUCCAGUUCACCUGAGGAUCUUGUUAGAAUAAAAUUCUGACUUCAUAAUCCAAGGUUGCCUGAGAGUCUAUAUUUCUAACAAGCUCCCAGGUGAUAUCAAU